CUUGCUCAAAAAGCUCUUGCAUACAGAAAUUUUACCAAAUUAAGCUGAACUACUUCUACGAGGCACUAAUUUACUAAGUCCUUAUUCUCAACACAGAAAUGGUUCUCCAGUGAUAAGAAAGAGAAGUGGUGUGCAGAAUAUGUGAAAAGAAUUUUCUAGAUACUUCACAUUUCUUAAUGAGAAACUGUGGAAUGACAAGGUGAUAAGCUAACCAAAGAAAGCAAGUGACUUCUUUAAGAUCACACAGGCAGAGAGUGGAUUCAGACCAGACUGUGAACAGCAUCCUGGAAGACAGACUAAGUAAGGAGUUUG